GCUUGGCUGGCUCAGUCUGUAGAGUGCGACUUUUGAUCUUGGGGUCAUGAGUUCAAGUCCCAUGUUGGGCA
rnacentral:tRNA from 1 species